rnacentral:tRNA from 1 species
AUCUAAAUAGUUUAUUAAAAAUAUUAACUUGUGGCGUUAAUGAAGCAAUAAUUUGCUUUAGAUA